AGAGUUUGAUCCUGGCUCAGGAUGAACGCUAGCGGCAGGCUUAACACAUGCAAGUCGAGGGGUAACAGGAGAGCUUGCUCUCGCUGACGACCGGCGAACGGGUGCGUAACGCGUAUGUAACUUACCCCUAACAGGAGAAUAGCUUUCGGAAACGGAAAUUAAUACUCCAUAAUAUUCUUUCAUCACAUGAUGGUAGAAUUAAAGCUCCGGCGGUUAGGGAUAGGCAUGCGUCCUAUUAGUUAGUUGGUAAGGUAACGGCUUACCAAGGCAGCGAUAGGUAGGGGUUCUGAGAGGAUGGCCCCCCACACUGGUACUGAGACACGGACCAGACUCCUACGGGAGGCAGCAGUGAGGAAUAUUGGUCAAUGGACGCAAGUCUGAACCAGCCAUGCCGCGUGAAGGAUUGAAUGCCUUAUGGGUUGUAAACUUCUUUUAUAUGCCAAGAAACCCCCGCACGUGUGCGGGGCUGACGGUAGCAUAUGAAUAAGCACCGGCUAACUCCGUGCCAGCAGCCGCGGUAAUACGGAGGGUGCAAGCGUUAUCCGGAUUUAUUGGGUUUAAAGGGUACGUAGGCGGGUUAUUAAGUCAGUGGUGAAAGCCUGCAGCUCAACUGUAGAACUGCCAUAGAUACUGAUAACCUUGAGUGUAGUUGAAGUAGACGGAAUAUGACAUGUAGCGGUGAAAUGCAUAGAUAUGUCAUAGGAACACCAAUAGUGAAAACAGUUUAAUAAGCUAUUACUGACGCUGAGGUACGAAAAGCGUGGGGAGCGAACAGGAUUAGAUACCCUGGUAGUCCACGCUGUAAACGAAUGAUUACUAGUUAUUGGCGAUAACACGGUCAGUGACGCAGCGAAAGCAUUAAGUAAUCCACCUGGGGAGUACGAUCGCAAGAUUGAAACUCAAAGGAAUUGACGGGGGCCCGCACAAGCGGUGGAGCAUGUGGUUUAAUUCGAUGAUACGCGAGGAACCUUACCAGGGCUUAAAUGCAGAACGACCGUUCCGGAAACGGAACUUUCUUCGGACGGUCUGCAAGGUGCUGCAUGGUUGUCGUCAGCUCGUGCUGUGAAGUGUCGGGUUAAGUCCCAUAACGAGCGCAACCCCUAUCUCUAAUUACCAGCGAGUAAUGUCGGGGACUCUAGAGAAACUGCCGGUGCAAACCGAGAGGAAGGUGGGGAUGACGUCAAAUCAUCACGGCCCUUACGUCCUGGGCUACACACGUGCUACAAUGGCCGAUACAGAGGGUAGCCACCUGGUGACAGGGAGCCAAUCUCGAAAAUCGGUCUCAGUUCGGAUUGGAGUCUGCAACUCGACUCCAUGAAGCCGGAAUCGCUAGUAAUCGCGCAUCAGCCAUGGCGCGGUGAAUACGUUCCCGGGCCUUGUACACACCGCCCGUCAAGCCAUGGAAGCUUGGGGUACCUGAAGUCGGUGACCGAAAGGAGCUGCCUAGGGUAAAACAAGUAACUGGGGCUAAGUCGUAACAAGGUAACCA
rnacentral:rRNA from 1 species